AUUCCAUGGUGAGGGCAAGCCAAGAGAUACUCUUGGACGCGCUCCCAUGCUUCAGGGAUUGACUCAUCUUAUACCUGCUAGAAAUUGUUUAUCCUUCCACGAAGGGC
rfam:Dichanthelium oligosanthes cultivar Kellogg 1175 unplaced genomic scaffold Do_version_2_scaffold9048, whole genome shotgun sequence.